rnacentral:misc_RNA from 1 species
UCUCCGUAGGUGAACCUGCGGAGGAAUCAUUACAGAGUUCAUGCCCUACCGGGUAGAUCUCCCACCCUAUGUUAUUAUUACUUUGUUGCUUUGGCGGGCCGUUAGGCUCCGGCCCGACUACCGGCCCCGGCUGGUAAGCGCCCGCCAGAGGACCCAAAACCCUGAAUAUUAGUGUCGUCUGAGUACUAUAUAAUAGUUAAAACUUUCAACAACGGAUCUCUUGGUUCUGACAUCGAUGAAGAACGCAGC